rfam:Schistosoma rodhaini strain Burundi genome assembly, scaffold: SROB_scaffold0000332
AUCCAGCUGACGAGUCCCAAAUAGGACGAAACGAGCGUCCUGCAU